CCUGCCCCUAGAGGCAUUGCAGGUGUGGCUACUGAGUCACACGUGCAUCAGUAGGUGGCAGAGAGGAGAAUGGCUAUGCCUAUGCUCAGUGUUCUGGCCUAUGAACAUCUGAGUGAUUAAUAGCCUAAAAUU